GCAAGGGGCCUCUGUCGUGAGCAGCACACGUAGGGCACCUCGAUUUGCUCUUUGUGCAGAAUCGACAUCGAGAGGUUUUGGGAGCAUAAGUUUUGUUGCUAAGGUAGCUGGUGAUUGUUGGUGCCGGCGCCCUU
rnacentral:snRNA from 1 species